rnacentral:tRNA from 2 species
UGCGCAGUGGCGUAGUUUGGCUAUCGCACCUGAUUUGGAUUCAGGGGAUCGUAGGUUCAAAUCCUACCUGUGCAA